rnacentral:rRNA from 1 species
AGUCGAGAAUCUUCGGCAAUGGGCGAAAGCCUGACCGAGCGACGCCGCGUGCGGGAUGAAGGCCCUCGGGUUGUAAACCGCUGUCGUAGAGGAGGAAGGCUUCGUGAAGAACGAGGUUUGACCUAUUCUAGGAGGAAGUACGGGCUAAGUUCGUGCCAGCAGCCGCGGUAAUACGAACCGUACAAACGUUAUUCGGAAUCACUGGGCUUAAAGGGUGCGUAGGCGGCCAUGUAAGUGAGAUGUGAAAUCCCUCGGCUCAACCGAGGAACUGCGCUUCAUACUGCAUGGCUUGAGGGAGACAGGGGUAAGCGGAACUGAUGGUGGAGCGGUGAAAUGCGUUGAUAUCAUCAGGAACACCGGUGGCGAAAGCGGCUUACUGGGUCUCUUCUGACGCUGAGGUACGAAAGCUAGGGGAGCGAA